rnacentral:rRNA from 1 species
GCCAGCAGCCGCGGUAAUACGUAGGGUGCAAGCGUUAAUCGGAAUUACUGGGCGUAAAGCGUGCGCAGGCGGUUAUGUAAGACAGGUGUGAAAUCCCCGGGCUUAACCUGGGAACUGCAUUUGUGACUGCAUAGCUAGAGUACGGUAGAGGGGGAUGGAAUUCCGCGUGUAGCAGUGAAAUGCGUAGAUAUGCGGAGGAACACCGAUGGCGAAGGCAAUCCCCUGGACCUGUACUGACGCUCAUGCACGAAAGCGUGGGGAGCAAACAGGAUUAGAUACCCUGGUAGUCCACGCCCUAAACGAUGUCAACUGGUUGUUGGGUCUUCACUGACUCAGUAACGAAGCUAACGCGUGAAGUUGACCGCCUGGGGAGUACGGCCGCAAGGUUGAAACUCAAAGGGAUUGACGGGGGCCCGCACAAG